rnacentral:rRNA from 1 species
UACGUAGGGGGCUAGCGUUGUCCGGAAUCAUUGGGCGUAAAGCGCGCGUAGGCGGCCCGGUAAGUCCGCUCUGAAAGUCCAGGGCUCAACCCUGGAAUGCGGGUGGAUACUGCCGGGCUAGAAUCCGGAAGAGGCGAGUGGAAUUCCUGGUGUAGCGGUGGAAUGCGCAGAUAUCAGGAGGAACACCAAUAGCGAAGGCAGCUCGCUGGGACGGUAU